AGUACACAAAAUGUCGGGAGGACCGGCAGAGUUAGACCUGCGGUGAGAGAGUUAUUGGAAGAAAAACCCCAACUGGAAGGAAACCACGACUGUAGACGAGGGAACAGCAACAAGUGAACCUGCCCGAGGACUGAGAGCAUCAACUGGAGAGAAACCCUUCUGACUCGGAGAUUCCAGUGAUUCAGUCAGGAGAAAGUUUGGGACCCUGCAGUAUUGUGUCCAGCUCCUCGUGCUAUAGCCAAAUUGAUUGGUGGAUUCCUGGCUACUCCAUAGGAGAGAAAAGUGAUCAUCCAGAAUCGCUCAGUUGUUCCUCUCCGCUGCCGUGCACCUGUUAAAAAUGACAAGGAAUUUGUCUACGGGAAUCUCAAACAGAUCACGUCAGGUUUGCUGUCUCUAUCCAGAUAUUUAAGACGAGGAGCAAGGGAUUCAUUCAACCUUCCUUCCUGCUCAGACUGUGUGGAGGGAUUCAUUUGCUCAUCUGACCGACCGGCUCACCCGUUAUUUUACACAGGAGAGAGUCCGUUCAUAUUCUCAGACUGUGGGAAGGGAUUCACUCGGUCAUCUCAACUGAAGGAACAUCAGCGGGUUCACACUGGCCAAGGCCAUUCAUCUGUUUUGUGGGUGAGAAGGGAUUCAGUCACUCUUCCCAGCUGUGGACACACCAGUCAGUUCACACUGGGCAGAGGCUGGUCAUCUGCUGAAUUUGUGCGGAAGGAUUCACUCGGUCAUCUGAUCUAAUGGCUCAUCAGCGAGUUCACACCGGGGAGCGGC